rnacentral:misc_RNA from 1 species
GUCAUUUAGAGGAAGUAAAAGUCGUAACAAGGUUCCCGUAGGUGAGCCUGCGGAAGGAUCAUUACAGAGUUCAUGCCCUCACGGGUAGAUCUCCCACCCUUGAAUACUAUACCUUAGUUGCUUUGGCAGGCCGGGGCAACCCCGCGGGCUUCGGCUCACGAGUGCCCGCCAGAGGAGACAAACUCUGUUUUUAGUGAUGUCUGAGUACUAUAUAAUAGUUA